rnacentral:rRNA from 1 species
AGAGUUUGAUCCUGGCUCAGAACGAACGCUGGCGGCAUGCUUAACACAUGCAAGUCGAACGAACGUAUGGGGCUUGCUUCAUACGUUAGUGGCAGACGGGUGAGAAACGCGUGGGAACGUACCCUAAAGUUCGGAAUAACUAUUGGAAACGAUAGCUAAUACCGGAUGUGACCGAGAGGUUAAAGGUUUACCGCUUUGGGAGCGGCCCGCGUUAGAUUAGCUAGUUGGUGGGGUAAAGGCCUACCAAGGCGAUGAUCUAUAGCUGGUCUGAGAGGAUGACCAGCCACACUGGGACUGAGACACGGCCCAGACUCCUACGGGAGGCAGCAGUGGGGAAUAUUGGACAAUGGGGGCAACCCUGAUCCAGCAAUGCCGCGUGAAUGAUGAAGGCCUUAGGGUUGUAAAGUUCUUUUAUUGAUGACGAUAAUGACGGUAAUCAAUGAAUAAGCACCGGCUAACUUCGUGCCAGCAGCCGCGGUAAUACGAAGGGUGCUAGCGUUGUUCGGAAUGACUGGGCGUAAAGGGUGCGUAGGCGGCCAGAAACGUCUGAUGUGAAAUCCCUGGGCUUAACCUAGGAACUGCAUUGGAUACGGUCUGGCUAGAGUCCGCGAGAGGAAGAUGGAAUUGUGCGUGUAGAGGUGAAAUUCGUAGAUAUGCACAAGAACACCGGUGGCGAAGGCGAUCUUCUGGAGCGGUACUGACGCUAAGGCACGAAAGUGUGGGGAGCAAACAGGAUUAGAUACCCUGGUAGUCCACACUGUAAACGAUGAAUGUUAGAUGUCGGGGAGGUUACUCUUCGGUAUCGCAGCUAACGCAUUAAACAUUCCGCCUGGGGAGUACGGUCGCAAGAUUAAAACUCAAAGGAAUUGACGGGGACCCGCACAAGCGGUGGAGUAUGUGGUUUAAUUCGAAGCAACGCGCAGAACCUUACCAACCCUUGACAUGGGACGUAUGAGCUUAAGAGAUUAAGUUCUUCACUUCGGGUGGCGU